rnacentral:rRNA from 1 species
UACGGAGGGUGCGAGCGUUGUCCGGAAUCAUUGGGCGUAAAGGGCGCGUAGGUGGCGGGACAAGCGUGCGGUGAAAGCCUGGGGCUCAACCCCGGGUCGGCCGUGCGAACUGUUUUGCUUGAGCACUGUAGAGGCAGGCGGAAUUCCGGGUGUAGCGGUGGAAUGCGUAGAGAUCCGGAAGAACACCGGUGGCGAAGGCGGCCUGCUGUGCAGUAGCUGACACUGAGGCGCGACAGCGUGGGGAGCAAACAGG